CGCUUUUCAUGCAUUUGUUUCUCUCUAAUCUUCAGUCGAUCCUUUGUUCUUCUUUUGCGACGGGGGAGUUGCUCAAAUCCUUAACUUUUAUUUGGGGGCAAACGAUCUUGUGUUUGCAUAUUCCCAAGUUAACGUCGCAUACGAAUGUUCGUCGACGUUGACGGAUCUCUCACACGGGAGAUUCUCCGUCGAUAUUGUCUCAUAUUCCAUCGCCUUGUGGAGCAGCGUUGCUGCCAUUACUUCUUGGGACUGGCCAUGAGACAUACAUAGUAUUUUUCCUUUUAUUUUCUUGGUUCUUAAUUCUGUUUUGCAAUUCCGAGGUUCUGUUGACUUGUUCUUAUACUUUGUUGGCCUGGUGACUGGUGUUGUCUUGCAAUUUGUAGUCUCAGAUUGGUAAAUUUAAUUCCAUGCUCCUCCCUAUUUGGGGGGCAAACUUUCUGUGUUGGCAUGGUUCCAAAAUAUGUAUAGCCAAUGAUGAAAUCAAUUAUCAAAACACCAUCUUUCGGGACUGAAUGGCUUCUAAGCCUUGAUGUUAUUCUGCAAUUCAGAGGCUAUUUACUUUUAGAACCUUUCGUGUAAUGUGUUUUCUUGGAGAGCUUGCACUUGUUAUUAUGCAUCCAAAUCCUAAUAAUCAACAUCAACUUAUCAUUCAGCUAAUUAGACAUUGUGUCAUGCAAACUAGGACAGAAAGCCUGUUUCUACACAACCGUGGAUGCGUUCCCGUGUUUACACUAUUAUGUUUGAAGAUAUAACGGUUGAGCCAGUGGGGACUUUUAGCUGCAUCCAAAUUUUCACAAUAAAAUGCAUUUGCAAUGCUGCACCAGAAGAACUGUUUCGAGAAACAGGAUCCGGCGCAGCUUUGUAAAUGCAUUCGAAUGUGAAGUUUUAAGAUCAUUCGUUUAGUAGCAUGUAUUCGAUUGUGCUGCUGCUGGUCCGGAAGACCUUUCCUUUAUAAGGAGAACCUUGAGCCUUUCCUUUAUAAGGAGGAGAUUUCAAUGGCACUAAGAUGGUUUUGCAUGGUUACACGAAGGUUUUGUGUGGAGGUAACAUUGUUGCUGAAUUUAGUCAGUACUUUCGUGUUGGUAAGGAAUCUUGCACGCGGUUUCACUUAUCUUAAAUUUUGUUUUGGUUAUGACUCUGUUUCUAUGCUGUCAUCGAACACCCCCCCCCCCCAAAAAAAGUCAUUUGACCCCUUGAAAAUAGGUGCUGCAGUGACCAGCAAAUUGAGGGAGACAAUUACUGUAGCUUCUUGUUUAGACCUUUCUUCUAUUGGUGAAGGAAUCGUGCUAUUUUGAUAAAAGCAAAUAUGAGAAGAGUUUUGUCUAAAGCUGUGAGGGCUUCUCAGAACCUGGUUUCCGAACAUGUUGAAUUGCUCACCAUAACCUCUUUGCGACAACGCGGUCUCCUGUGGACCUUGGAUGAAAGGGUUUAUUACCAAAAAGUGGGUGGACACAGUUGGUGAAAGGUUGAAACACGGAUCGUCACUUGGUGAAUGGCUGCUCACGAAUUUCAGCGCACUAUGGGAAGGCAACGGUUAAAAUGUAUAAACUGAAACAGGUGUGUUAAUAUUAGAUGUUUUAUUGGAAGAAGUGAUACUUGUCCCAUUAUAGCCGGCAUUUCCUGGUUCAAAUGAGCAACAUACGUGGUCUGGCUAUGGGCUUGAAGGGAGGCGUAGCCGUUAUAAAAUUUAAUUGUAUUUGUACACACUACGGAAGUUUCACUGUAUUUUCCUUGUUUCUUUAAUCGGUUUAAUCCUAAACGAAUCUGUGAGUGUGAAGUCACGAUCUGUUCACAAUCUACCGAUAAAGGAAAAAUAAUUAUCUCCUAUGUUAUGAUA